rfam:Oryza punctata chromosome 12, whole genome shotgun sequence.
CGCGUGGAUGACGACAACCUUCUGUUCUACAUCAUCGCUGGCCUCAACGACGAGUAUGUGAACUGGUUGUGUCUUCUCUUGUUGGGAGACCAGACCCGGUUUCCAUAGGAGAAGCCUUUGCCCAGCUGCUGAGCUUUGAAC